GGCCUAAUACAUGCAAGUCGAACGGUUGUCAGCAAUGGCAAUAGUGGCGCACGGGUGCGUAACGCGUAACCAACCUACCCGAAUCUGGGGGAUAGCCCGCCGAAAGGCGGAUUAAUACCGCAUAAAACUGCAGGACGGCAUCGUUCAACAGUUAAAGAUUUAUUGGAUUCGGAUGGGGUUGCGUGCCAUUAGCUAGUUGGGGGGGUAACGGCCCACCAAGGCGACGAUGGCUAGGGGAGCUGAGAGGCUGGUCCCCCACACGGGCACUGAGAUACGGGCCCGACUCCUACGGGAGGCAGCAGUAGGGAAUAUUGGGCAAUGGUCGAGAGACUGACCCAGCCAUGCCGCGUGCAGGAUGAAGGCUUUCUGAGUCGUAAACUGCUUUUGCCAGGGAAGAAAAAAGGGGAUGCGUCCUCUACUGACGGUACCUGGUGAAUAAGCACCGGCUAACUCCGUGCCAGCAGCCGCGGUAAUACGGAGGGUACAAGCGUUGUCCGGAUUUAUUGGGUUUAAAGGGUGCGUAGGCGGCUUUUUAAGUCUGGGGUGAAAGCCCGUUGCUCAACAACGGAACUGCCCUGGAAACUGGAGAGCUUGAGUACAGACGAGGGUGGCGGAAUGGAUACUGUAGCGGUGAAAUGCAUAGAUAGUAUCCAGAACCCCGAUUGCGAAGGCAGCUGCCUAGACUGUAACUGACGCUGAGGCACGAAAGCGUGGGGAGCGAACAGGAUUAGAUACCCUGGUAGUCCACGCCGUAAACGAUGGAUACUCGCUGGUGGCGACAGACGGUCACUGGCUUAGCGAAAGCGUUAAGUAUCCCACCUGGGGAGUACGCUCGCAAGA
rnacentral:rRNA from 1 species